rnacentral:tRNA from 1 species
GCCCAGAUAGCUCAGUCGGUAGAGCAGAGGACUGAAAAUCCUCGUGUCGCUGGUUCGAUUCCGGCUCUGGGCACAA